AUUGUGGACAAAAUGGACUGUUUCAAGAGGUGGCAGAGAGAUAUUUUUAGAUUUGUCUGGCAGGGCAAGAAGCCCAAAAUAAAAUUCAAAAUAUUAACAGAUGCAAAGGAAAGAGGUGGAUUUGCCCUGCCAGACCUCAAACUUUAUUAUGAAUCAGCAGCUUUUUGCUGGUUGAAAGAAUGGCUGCUUCUUGAAAACACUGACAUUUUGGAUUUAGAAAGCUUUAACAAUGUAUUUGGAUGGCAUGCAUAUCUGUGGUAUGAUAAGGUCAAAGCACAUAAAGCAUUUAAAAACCAUAUUGUCAGGAAAGCAUUGUUUAAUGUCUGGAUAAGAUAUAAGGAUUUAUUGGAAAAUAAAACACCAAGGUGGCUGUCACCGAUGGAAGCGAAAACUCUGAAAAAGCUCAAUAUGGAGGUCAAAUGGCCGAAACAUUGGGAAAUUUUGGAACAAGAUGGAGAUAGAUUGAAACUGCAGAGUUUUGAAAAACUAAAAAACAAAGUGCGAGACUGGCUUCAUUAUUAUCAGAUAAUGGAUGCAUACAAUUUGGACAAGAAAAUUGGCUUCCAGGUGGAAAAAUCAAAAUUAGAAACAGAAUUGUUAGAACCCAAAACUAAGAUUUUGUCAAAGAUGUAUAACUUGCUGUUGAAAUGGAAUACUCAGGAUGAAACGGUGAAAUCUGCUAUGAUUAAAUGGGCACAAGACGUUGGACAUAAUAUAAUGAUGGCUGACUGGGAACAUUUGUGGACCACAGGUAUGAAGUUUACGGCAUGUAAUGCCCUAAGAGAGAAUAUUAUGAAAAUGAUAUACAGGUGGUACAUAACCCCAGUCAAGCUUGCAAAAAUCUACCAUUUGCCCGAUAACAAAUGUUGGAAAUGUAAAGAAACUGAAGGUACAUUCUUUCACCUUUGGUGGACGUGCCCAAGGAUUAAGGUUUUCUGGGAGAUGAUUUAUAAUGAAUUAAAAAAGGUAUUUAAAUAUACCUUCUUGAAGAAACCAGAGGCCUUUCUCCUGGGCAUAGUCGGCCAAUCGGUGUUAAAGAAGGACAGAACUUUCUUUAUGUAUGCUACAACAGCAGCAAGAAUACUUAUUGCAAAGCAUUGGAAGACACAAGAUCUACCCACACUGGAGGAAUGGCAGAUGAAAAUGAUGGACUACAUGGAAUUGGCGGAAAUGACUGGCAGAAUCCGAGACCAGGGAGAAGAGUCGGCGGAAGAAGAAUGGAAGAAAUUUAAAGACUACUUACAGAAAUAUUGUAAAAUUAAUGAAUGUUAGAAUGAUGUCGGAUUGAAGUUAAGUAGUUUCUAGCUGUAAUGGUAUAAAAGAAUAUGGAAAAAUUGGUUUUUAAUACGUAAAAAUUUAAUGUUAUAAUAUAUCAAGAUUAAAGAUCAGGAUUAAAAAGGAGGGAAAGGAAUUGCUGGACUAACAAAUUGAAUUGGAAUACAAAAGAGGGAGGUAUGAGGAGGUCGGGGAAACAAGUAAAUGUAAGAGAAGUGAUGAAAAGAUGGAAUUGUUUUUAACUGUUUUUUCUUUUUU